rnacentral:rRNA from 1 species
GCUUGUCUCAAAGAUUAAGCCAUGCAUGUCUAAGUGUAAAUAAGUCUAUACUGUGAAACUGCGAAUGGCUCAUUAAAUCAGUUAUCGUUUAUUUGAUGAUCUCUUACUACUUGGAUAACCGUAGUAAUUCUAGAGCUAAUACAUGCACAAAAUCCCGACUUACGAAGGGAUGUAUUUAUUAGAUACAAACCAACAUCGUGGUGAUUCAUAAUAACUUAGCGAAUCGAAUGGCCUUGUGCCGUCGAUGCUUCAUUCAAAUUUCUGCCCUAUCAGCUUUCGAUGGUAGGAUCUUGGCCUACCAUGGCUAUAACGGGUAACGGGGAAUUAGGGUUCGAUUCCGGAGAGGGAGCUUGAGAAACGGCUACCACAUCCAAGGAAGGCAGCAGG